AUUGGUCUUGUAUUGAUAAAUGUCAAGCAUGGCAAAGAUUUGGAGUUGGCAUUCAUGGAGCUUAAGAGUGAAGAAAAAUUCGUAAAAUAUGGCAACUUCUCAAGGGAACGAGAUAGAGCCCAUGAGAUUCGCCAGUCGCCAUAAGCAUUCUGGGCCGUGAAAAAAUUUCCUCAACCUCCUCCUCUUCCAGCAGCCGCUGGCAAAACAGAUUCUUCAUGGGAGGUCAGCAAACCUUUCGGAGAGGAGGAGAUGACUAUUCAAUGGAAGUUGAAUUCAACUUUCUGUUUUUGCACGUUCAUUGCCUUCAACUUUAG
rnacentral:misc_RNA from 1 species